AUUGAACGCUGGCGGCGUGCUUAACACAUGCAAGUCGAUCGGUAACAGGUGUAGCAAUACAUGCUGACGAGAGGCGGACGGGUGAGUAAUGCUUGGGAAUCUGCCUAUUAGUGGGGGACAACCCGGGGAAACUCGGGCUAAUACCGCAUACGCUCUACGGAGGAAAGCCGGGGACCGCAAGGCCUGGCGCUAAUAGAUGAGCCCAAGUCGGAUUAGCUAGUUGGUAGGGUAACGGCCUACCAAGGCGACAAUCCGUAGCUGGUCUGAGAGGACGACCAGCCACACCGGAACUGAGACACGGUCCGGACUCCUACGGGAGGCAGCAGUGGGGAAUAUUGGACAAUGGGGGGCAACCCUGAUCCAGCGACGCCGCGUGGGUGAAGAAGGCCUGCGGGUUGUAAAGCCCUUUCGGUGGGGAAGAAAAGUCUCGACCUAAUACGUCGGGACCUUGACGUAACCCACUAAAGAAGCACCGGCUAACUCUGUGCCAGCCGCCGCUGU
rnacentral:rRNA from 1 species